rnacentral:rRNA from 1 species
CACCGCGGUUAUACGAGAGGCCCAAGUUGACAGACACCGGCGUAAAGCGUGGUUAAGGUAUACCAAAACUAAAGCCGAACACCUUCAGGGCAGUUAUACGCAUCCGAAGGCACGAAGCCCCACCACGAAAGUGGCUUUAUGAACCCUCACCCCACGAAAGCUAUGACA